AAGGGGGCGUAAGGUUGAGUACCCCGCCCCCACCUGGCUUAUGGAAUUCGAAGCUUAUGCAAAAACUGCUUUCCUGUUGAGACACUCAUUGCAAGAUGGAGUAUGGUGUUAUUAUUUCGCGCCUUAUUAGACUCCCUUGUUUGAUUGGGAUGGGGCAGGGGGGAAACCUACCGCAGGGCGUUCAAUAGUAAUCUGCGGGAUGACAGCCUAUUUGGAACUGAAACACUCCCCAAUCCCUAGGGAAAAUUCAUUGGGGAAUUUUGCCCAAGGCCCCAAACCUGAACGCGCCUACCCCGGGUGAUGGAAAAAGAAUUUUGUUCCGUCAAGCUAUAUAAUUGAGGAAACAACGACUCAACCUGAUGAAGAAUCCCCGGCUGUUACGUGUCAAAAUCCGUGGUAAUACGUAGGGGACGCCGAUAUCCGAAUUUUCUGUGGUAAUCGUUGGCCUUAUUGGUUGCACGGACAGUAAGUCAAGACCACAACUCUCCUGAGGACUGCCUGCAAACUGAGCUUGGAAGGGUUGGAGAGAGAGGGUAGAUUGGAGGUAUACAGAGGAAUUGCAAAUACAUCGGGAAUAGAAGCGGAGCCAAUAGCGAGGGACUUAGCCUCUGUAGUGAAAGUCUACUUGCUAACUCUGGAUCAAUAGACUAGAGGUUACAAU
rnacentral:rRNA from 1 species